rnacentral:lncRNA from 1 species
UUUUUUUUAAAGGGAAACUUCAGGGGGAGAGAGAGAGAGAGAGAGAGAGAGAGAGAGAGAGAGAGAGAGAGAGAGAGAGAGAGAGAAUGCUCUCCAGAAGGGCGGUGCAGACAUAGGCCUGGCUGUCCCUCACUAACCCCAUCCCCCAGGCCACUAACCCAUGCGUUCUCCCUGACCCAGAGACGGAAUAUAAAUGAAAUGCUUUGCUGUACAGGACACUAACUGGCAGCCGCCUGCUGGAGCUGAGGCCAUUUUCUAAGCAGCUCACUAAUCAGAAGUGACUGGGGCUCUGGAGAGAACACAGUCCAGCCCUGGUUCCACCCUCCAUGCUAAUGAAGAAGGCAGUGAGGUGGAUAAUUAAGGGCAGCGAUGUGAAUAAUUCCAAACUGAUCAUUCGGAGGUAAUGAAAUGCACUAGGAGUUUUGGGGGAGGCAGACUUCCCUUACCAGACAUGGCUGUUUUCUGAUAAAAUGAGCUGGCCUUUUCCAAGCACCGAGUCUGGGAGGAGCUGGCCUGGGAAGGCAGAGGUUGAAGGGAGGAGCUGACCUGGGAUUACGAAUUCAUGCAGCCAUGAAAAACAGUGUUUAGGAAGCUUGCGUAACCACACAGGGAGACACUCGUGAUAUGAUCUUAAGGGGAAAAAAAAUGAAGAAGCCUGCAAAGUGAUAUCGUGGCUCACUACAGCAAUUUUGAAAACAAAACCAAUAACAUGACAAGAUUGUAUACAUGGGGAAGAAAGACUAGAAGGAAAUCUACUACCAAGAAGGUUAGCAGUAGCUAUCUGGGUAGUGGGACUGUGGAGGAUUUAUUUUUUCCUCUACCAUAAUUUUCCAAAUUCUCUUAUAGUAACUUGGAUUGCUUUCAUAAUGAAAAAGGUGAACACAUGGAAAAUAACUUGGUGUGGCAAAAUUCCUCCCCAGCAUGGACAUAAAGCUAACUCAUGUGGAUGGACAUGGAGUCUAGCUAGGCUACAUUUUACUGCAUAAUCUGCUCAAAGCCCCACAGCCCUCUUCUGGAUAGAAAUGUUUCCUCCAUGAAGUUCAUACUGAAGGUGAAUCUCCCUGACUGUGUUUUUCUGAAAGCUUCAGAGAUGUUUUCAGAGACAGCAGGUUUGGGGCUACUAUGUUCCUCUGAGGGUAUAAUCAAUUUCUACCUGUAUCAGUCUCUUUUCCAUUACUGGUCACAAAAUACUGUAAUAAAACAAAACAAAAAAUGAAUAAAUAAAUAAAGCUGAGUGACUUUCUACAGAAAAGAGGGAUAGUUAGAGGUGGUUAUAGAGAUCCAAGGGUCUGCAGUCAGCUCAGCUCUGGUAAGGACAUGAUGGUGGAUGGCAUCACAAUGGCAAGAGAGAUGGAGAGAUCACAGUGCCCCAGAGGAAACCAAAGAGUGACUGGAGACUAGCAGGGGGAUUGCAGGAGAACCAUGUUAAUCCCUUUGGAGGCUAAUGCUCCCAGUGACCUCAGGCCUUCCUGCUAGGAACUUCCUCUUUUUAAUGUCCCGCUACCUCAACUACCACAUUGAGGACCAAGCUUCCAACACAUGAGCCUUGGGAGGCAGCCCCAUCUGAGCCACUGUACCACCAUAUUUCGUAGUUUCUUGGAACCUCUCCUUAAUCUUGUGUCCCUAGUCUUCCAGUUUUAGAACUAGUUAUGAACAAUACCUAUUAAAUGAGCUCCUUAUUUCACUAAAUCAUGGGACUAGUCAAGCUCUGGGUUUUAUAGUAACUAGCUGAGAGAAGAGUAAGUUUAUUUCUUACUCUUUCUUAUGAGACAAAUGUAGGAGACUUGGGAAAAAAAGUCUUUUGGGAAGACUUUUAAUUUAAUGAAGUUAAUCUGCUACUCCAUAAUAAAAUCCAUAUUUGGGGCUGGGCUGGGGCUCAGCGGUAGCGGACUUGCCUGGCAUGUGUGAGGAACUGGGUUUGAUUCUCAGCACCGCAUAUAAAUAAAUAAAAUAAAGGUCUAUAAAAAAUAAAUAAAAUAAAAUCCAUAUUUUCUUUUUAUAAUUUUGGGAAUUUCUAAACAGAAUCUGCUAUGAUCUGAAGAUUUGAACCUCCCAAAAUUCACAUGCUGAAAUGAUAAACCUCAAGAUGAUGGUAUUAGAUUGUGGGACUUUGGAAGGUGAUUUUAGGUCAUGAGAUUGGACUUCACUGGAGCCUGAAGAGACCAGAGUUCUUCCCUUUCACUAUGUAAGGACACAUUGACAAGGUGCCAAAUGGGCCCUUACUACAUGUUGAAUCUGCUGGCACCUGGAUCUGGGACUUCCCAGACUCUAGAUUGUGAAAAUAAAUUUCUGUUGUUUAUAAAUCACCCCAGUUUAUGGUAUCUUGUGCAGUAGCCUGAACAGAUUAAGGAACUCUUUUUUUGUCUUUUGGUGGGAAGGAUACUGGGGAUUGAACUCAGGGGCACUUUUACCACUAAGCCAUAUCCUCAGCACUUGUUUUUUUUUUUAAUUUUAUUCGGAGAUGGAAUCUCACUGAGUUCCUUAGGGCCUCACAGUUGCUGAGCCUGGCUUCAAAUAUAUUUGCUCUUAUGUAUAAUCAUAUCAUGGUUCUAUAUACCAUAACCUAAAGGAUGAGGGCAAGGAUACUCAUCUUAAAGGUUAAGAAAAUUGGAUGAGACCGUGAAGUGAUGAGUAUCGUGUUUGGCAGGUGAUAAGUUCUGACUUAGAUCUGUCAGGCAGGUGUAUGCCAGUUACAGAGCUCACUUGGAAGAGCCAAAAGAUACUUCCCCUACUUAUGACCCCUUCUGAACACUGCCCUAGGUAUAGGCAGCCAUGUUUAUACUCCAAUGCCUUGCCCCUUUGACAAAUGAUUGAGUUGGAGAAGGCAUUGGGCCUGAGAAUAGUCAACCUAUAGGCUGGUAAACAGCUUAUGAUAUCAUACCUGCCUCUGCCUAAUGAAAUAAUAGUAUCCAGUUUACUCAGUCAGGUCCUCUCACUGUGCACUGGAACUCAUGACAUGCUUAGAGAUUCUAUUAGCAAGAAUAGCUCCAUUUCCUCUCUGCCUCUCUCCCCUAGAAACAGACCCAAUCUGCUAGCCAGAGUCCCCUAAGACCAUCAGAGACUUUCCCUUAGAUUUUUAGAGUUGGGCAGAAGGCUCUGUGGAACUGGGCUUCGCUGCACAUGCCUGCAGGGCCAGGCAGGCACACAGGUGAGACGUCCAGCGGGGCUGGAGAGGACCUGUGACCAAAGAG